rnacentral:rRNA from 1 species
GACGAACGCUGGCGGCGUGCUUAACACAUGCAAGUCGAACGGACAGGCCCUGCUUUUGUGGGUUGCUCGAGUGGCGAACGGGUGAGUAACACGUGAGUAACCUGCCCUUGACUUUGGGAUAACUUCAGGAAACUGGGGCUAAUACCGGAUAUGAGCUCCUGCUGCAUGGUGGGGGUUGGAAAGUUUCGGCGGUUGGGGAUGGACUCGCGGCUUAUCAGCUUGUUGGUGGGGUAGUGGCUUACCAAGGCUUUGACGGGUAGCCGGCCUGAGAGGGUGACCGGCCACAUUGGGACUGAGAUACGGCCCAGAAUCCUACGGGAGGCAGCAGUGGGGAAUAUUGCAGAAUGGGCGGAAGCCUGAUGCAGCAACGCCGCGUGCGGGAUGACGGCCUUCGGGUUGUAAACCGAUUUCGCAUGUGACGAAGAGUGAGUGACGGUAAUGGGUAAAGAAGCACCGGCUAACUACGUG